GACUCCAGAAGACGGGAACACGACCAGAUCUUUUUUUACGAUUACACAAGACUGAGGCAGUGGGGGCUGAUCUGCGCUCUGCUCCUGUGUAUCAUCGGCUUCCUGGUCCUGUUCAGUGGGAGAUGUCGCGGAUUCUCGUGCAGGAGGCGACAGA